rnacentral:rRNA from 1 species
CAGCAGCCGCGGUAAUACGAAGGGUGCAAGCGUUAAUCGGAAUUACUGGGCGUAAAGCGCGCGUAGGUGGUUUGGUAAGAUGGAUGUGAAAUCCCCGGGCUCAACCUGGGAACUGCAUCCAUAACUGCCUGACUAGAGUACGGUAGAGGGUGGUGGAAUUUCCUGUGUAGCGGUGAAAUACGUAGAUAUAGGAAGGAACACCAGUGGCGAAGGCGACCACCUGGACUGAUACUGACACUGAGGUGCGAAAGCGUGGGGAGCAAACAGGAUUAGAUACCCGCGUAGUCCCUGUCUCUUAUAC